rnacentral:rRNA from 1 species
GACGAACGCUGGCGGCGUGCUUAACACAUGCAAGUCGAACGGAAAGGCCCUGCUUGUGUGGGGUGCUCGAGUGGCGAACGUGUGUGUAACACGUGAGUAACCUGCCCUCGACGUUGGGAUAACUUCAGGAAACUGGGGCUAAUACCGGACAGGAGCUCCUGCUGCAUGGGGGGGGUUUGAAAGUUUCGGCGGUUGGGGAUGGACUCGCGGCGUAUCAGCUUGUUGGUGGGGUAGUGGAUUACCAAGGCUUUGACGGGUAGCCGGCCUGAGAGGGUGACCGGACACAUUGGGACUGGGAUGCGGCACAGACUCCUACGGGAGGCAGCAGUGGGGAAUAGUGCACAAUGGGCGGAAGCAUGAUGCAGCAACGCCGCGUGCGGGAUGACGGCCUUCGGGUUGUAAACCGCUUUCGCCUGUGACGAGGAGUGAGUGACGGUAAUGGGUAAAGAAGCACCGGCUAACUACGUG